rnacentral:rRNA from 1 species
UAAUUGAAGAGUUUGAUCAUGGCUCAGAUUGAACGCUGGCGGCAGGCCUAACACAUGCAAGUCGAGCGGUAACAGGGGAAGCUUGCUUCUCGCUGACGAGCGGCGGACGGGUGAGUAAUGUAUGGGGAUCUGCCCGAUAGAGGGGGAUAACUACUGGAAACGGUGGC